GGGCAGGUACCCAAGUGGACAACGGGGGCAGACUGUAAAUCUGCUGCCAACGGCUUCGGAGGUUCAAAUCCUUCCCUGCCCA
rnacentral:tRNA from 1 species